rnacentral:lncRNA from 1 species
CCGGGGUGCCCAGAGGACACGACAGGGAGAAGCCCCGGUUCCAGGCCUGGUGGCCCUGGCCGCGUCGCUCCCUCCCACGCCCCACCUCUACACUGAAUAACCAGAAACCGAGGCGCCAAGGGACAGUGUGACCCCAUAAAGGAAAGAGCCCCCUGGGCUGAUUUUUUGUGAGACCUCUGCAACGCCGCAGGGCCCUUCCCAGUUUCGUCGGCUGUCCCCCACCCGGUCUGCAGCAGGGUGCUGCUGGGCCGGUGUUGCCGUCCCGGUUUAAAGAUGAAGAAGCCCGGGCUUCAUGGAGGCCUCAUUGGGGUCUGACAUCUCAGAUGCUUUCACAGUCCAUGAAAAUGGUCGUGGGGGGCCCACUGGAGGUGCUGGGGUGAAGGAGACAGACCGGGUGCAGGCUGUCACCGAGCGCAGUGUCCGCGCUCUGAGAGGGGCCCUUCCUCGGGCCAUGACGGAGCACUUCCUGGAGGAAGCGGAAAUCUCGAGGCUCUCGUAUUGCUGUAACCAAGCCCUGCGAGCUGGGCGGCACACCACAGAAAUUUCUUGUCUCAUGGUUCUGGAGGCCAGACGUCCAAAAGCAAGGGGAGGAUCUGUUACGUGCCUCUCUCCAAGCUGCUGGUGUGUCCCGCCCUCCUUGGUGCCCCUUUGUGCCGUGGACUGAGUGUUUCUGUCCCCCUGCCGCCGAAUCGUAGGUGGGAGCGCUAGUCGCCAGUGGGAUGGGAUUUGGAAAUGGGGCCUUAGGGAGGCAAUUUGGUUUAGAUGAGGUCAUGAGGGUGGGGCCCGCACGAUGGGGUUAGUGCCCUCAUAGGAGGAGAUGUGAGAGGGCUUGUUUCUCCCUCUCCCUCUGCUGCUCCCCCUGCUUGUGUCCUUUGUCAAAUAAAUAAAUAAAAUCUUAAAAAAAAAAAAAAAAG